GAUGAAGAACGUAGCGAAAUGCGAUAAGUAAUGUGAAUUGCAGAAUUCAGUGAAUCAUCGAAUCUUUGAACGCACAUUGCGCCCGUCAGUAUUCUGGCGGGCAUGCCUGUUCGAGCGUCAUUACGCCCCUCAAGUCCCCUGUGGACUUGGUGUUGGGGAUCGGCGAGGCUGGUUUUCCAGCACAGCCGUCCCUUAAAUUAAUUGGCGGUCUCGCCGUGGCCCUCCUCUGCGCAGUAGUAAAACACUCGCAACAGGAGCCCGGCGCGGUCCACUGCCGUAAAACCCCCCAACUUUUUAUAGUUGACCUCGAAUAAGGUAGGACUACCCGCUGAACUUAAGCAUAUCAAUAAGCGGAGGA
rnacentral:misc_RNA from 1 species